rnacentral:tRNA from 1 species
GGAAAUAUGCCCGAAUUCAAGGACUACUUUGAUAGAGUAAACAAUAGAGGUUCAAGUCCUCUUAUUUCCU